rnacentral:lncRNA from 1 species
GCAGCCAAUUAGGCUGCAUCCUGCUUUUACCACACAGAUAAGAAAACUGUGAGGAAUGCCCCGGGCUUCUGGGUUACUGCGGCGGGCGCCUGAGAAGGCGUCUCUUGGAGACUGAACUUGAGUAUUCAGACUGCUGAUUCUUGAGCGCCUUCAAACGAAGAAACCUGGGCCCGUGCUCUACGGAAUUUAUUGCACAGACGGGGAUCCUGGAGGCAGAAGGAUGCCACGGUGGUGUUUAUGGGUAAUAUAAAUCCAGGUUACUUCCAAGGCAUUGGAGGGUGAUGGGAGCCAGCCCGCGUGUGAACUCCUUCAGGCCACCAGCCAGCAUCGCAGCCCCUGAACUCCCCCCUCCCCCACAGAAGGUGUCUCAGACUGAGCCAGUCCUGUCUCCCCAUUCGCACACACAGGGGACACCGCCCAGAAUGCCCUCAAUCAGGUUGCCCAAGUAUUACACGUAAAGUUGUGCCACACAUAAUAAGCAAAGGGAAUGUGGCUUGUUUUUAAAACUUUAGAAUAAAGGUGGUACAGUUGUUGGUGUGUUUUU